UACGUAUGGAGCAAGCGUUAUCCGGAUUUACUGGGUGUAAAGGGAGCGCAGGCGGUCUGGCAAGUCUGAUGUGAAAGGCCGGGGCUCAACCCCGGGACUGCAUUGGAAACUGUCAGACUGGAGUGUCGGAGAGGUAAGCGGAAUUCCUAGUGUAGCGGUGAAAUGCGUAGAUAUCAGGAGGAACACCGGUGGCGAAGGCGGCCUGCUGGACUGCAACUGACGUUGAGGCCCGAAAGCGUGGGGAGCAAACAGG
rnacentral:rRNA from 1 species